rnacentral:rRNA from 2 species
UUAAGCGACUAAGCGUACACGGUGGAUGCCCUGGCAGUCAGAGGCGAUGAAGGACGUGCUAAUCUGCGAUAAGCGUCGGUGAGGUGAUAUGAACCGUUAUAACCGGCGAUUUCCGAAUGGGGAAACCCAGUGUGUUUCGACACACUAUCAUUAACUGAAUCCAUAGGUUAAUGAGGCGAACCGGGGGAACUGAAACAUCUAAGUACCCCGAGGAAAAGAAAUCAACCGAGAUUCCCCCAGUAGCGGCGAGCGAACGGGGAGGAGCCCAGAGCCUGAAUCAGUGUGUGUGUUAGUGGAAGCGUCUGGAAAGGCGUGCGAUACAGGGUGACAGCCCCGUACACAAAAAUGCACAUAUUGUGAGCUCGAUGAGUAGGGCGGGACACGUGGUAUCCUGUCUGAAUAUGGGGGGACCAUCCUCCAAGGCUAAAUACUCCUGACUGACCGAUAGUGAACCAGUACCGUGAGGGAAAGGCGAAAAGAACCCCGGCGAGGGGAGUGAAAAAGAACCUGAAACCGUGUACGUACAAGCAGUGGGAGCCUCUUAAUGGGGUGACUGCGUACCUUUUGUAUAAUGGGUCAGCGACUUAUAUUCUGUAGCAAGGUUAACCGAAUAGGGGAGCCGAAGGGAAACCGAGUCUUAACUGGGCGUUAAGUUGCAGGGUAUAGACCCGAAACCCGGUGAUCUAGCCAUGGGCAGGUUGAAGGUUGGGUAACACUAACUGGAGGACCGAACCGACUAAUGUUGAAAAAUUAGCGGAUGACUUGUGGCUGGGGGUGAAAGGCCAAUCAAACCGGGAGAUAGCUGGUUCUCCCCGAAAGCUAUUUAGGUAGCGCCUCGUGAAUUCAUCUCCGGGGGUAGAGCACUGUUUCGGCAAGGGGGUCAUCCCGACUUACCAACCCGAUGCAAACUGCGAAUACCGGAGAAUGUUAUCACGGGAGACACACGGCGGGUGCUAACGUCCGUCGUGAAGAGGGAAACAACCCAGACCGCCAGCUAAGGUCCCAAAGUCAUGGUUAAGUGGGAAACGAUGUGGGAAGGCCCAGACAGCCAGGAUGUUGGCUUAGAAGCAGCCAUCAUUUAAAGAAAGCGUAAUAGCUCACUGGUCGAGUCGGCCUGCGCGGAAGAUGUAACGGGGCUAAACCAUGCACCGAAGCUGCGGCAGCGACACUAUGUGUUGUUGGGUAGGGGAGCGUUCUGUAAGCCUGUGAAGGUGGCCUGUGAGGGUUGCUGGAGGUAUCAGAAGUGCGAAUGCUGACAUAAGUAACGAUAAAGCGGGUGAAAAGCCCGCUCGCCGGAAGACCAAGGGUUCCUGUCCAACGUUAAUCGGGGCAGGGUGAGUCGACCCCUAAGGCGAGGCCGAAAGGCGUAGUCGAUGGGAAACAGGUUAAUAUUCCUGUACUUGGUGUUACUGCGAAGGGGGGACGGAGAAGGCUAUGUUGGCCGGGCGACGGUUGUCCCGGUUUAAGCGUGUAGGCUGGUUUUCCAGGCAAAUCCGGAAAACCAAGGCUGAGGCGUGAUGACGAGGCACUACGGUGCUGAAGCGACAAAUGCCCUGCUUCCAGGAAAAGCCUCUAAGCAUCAGGUAACAUCAAAUCGUACCCCAAACCGACACAGGUGGUCAGGUAGAGAAUACCAAGGCGCUUGAGAGAACUCGGGUGAAGGAACUAGGCAAAAUGGUGCCGUAACUUCGGGAGAAGGCACGCUGAUAUGUAGGUGAAGCGACUUGCUCGUGGAGCUGAAAUCAGUCGAAGAUACCAGCUGGCUGCAACUGUUUAUUAAAAACACAGCACUGUGCAAACACGAAAGUGGACGUAUACGGUGUGACGCCUGCCCGGUGCCGGAAGGUUAAUUGAUGGGGUUAGCGGUAACGCGAAGCUCUUGAUCGAAGCCCCGGUAAACGGCGGCCGUAACUAUAACGGUCCUAAGGUAGCGAAAUUCCUUGUCGGGUAAGUUCCGACCUGCACGAAUGGCGUAAUGAUGGCCAGGCUGUCUCCACCCGAGACUCAGUGAAAUUGAACUCGCUGUGAAGAUGCAGUGUACCCGCGGCAAGACGGAAAGACCCCGUGAACCUUUACUAUAGCUUGACACUGAACAUUGAGCCUUGAUGUGUAGGAUAGGUGGGAGGCUUUGAAGUGUGGACGCCAGUCUGCAUGGAGCCGACCUUGAAAUACCACCCUUUAAUGUUUGAUGUUCUAACGUUGGCCCGUAAUCCGGGUUGCGGACAGUGUCUGGUGGGUAGUUUGACUGGGGCGGUCUCCUCCUAAAGAGUAACGGAGGAGCACGAAGGUUGGCUAAUCCUGGUCGGACAUCAGGAGGUUAGUGCAAUGGCAUAAGCCAGCUUGACUGCGAGCGUGACGGCGCGAGCAGGUGCGAAAGCAGGUCAUAGUGAUCCGGUGGUUCUGAAUGGAAGGGCCAUCGCUCAACGGAUAAAAGGUACUCCGGGGAUAACAGGCUGAUACCGCCCAAGAGUUCAUAUCGACGGCGGUGUUUGGCACCUCGAUGUCGGCUCAUCACAUCCU